GGCUCGUUGGUCUAGGGGUGGGAUUCUCGCUUUGGGUGUGAGAGGUCCCGGGUUCAAAUCCCAGACGAGCCC
rnacentral:tRNA from 1 species